UUUAACCUCUGAAGUUCUUAAAAACUCUCCUGGCUGAUACUCCUACGUAUCGGAGUGAAUGGCUAUGCGGUUCCCGUGGAUUCUACCAACGGUCACCUCGAGGUUAUUUGGAAUACUUUCAGAUUCCAGUUUUGUUUUCUCCGAAUUAUGCAGAGACUGUCAGAACAGGACUGAUGCCAGUUAUGUAUUAUGAGAGGUCAACAGCACUUUGAUACAGGAGUCAGCACUAUCACAUGUUGCCAACAGAACUGAGAAGUUGGAAGCCACUAAAGCUAAGAGCUCAUUAGUGGUCAUUUGAAUCCUUAUAUCUGAAGAGUCACUACAAUAAAAACCACUCUCUGCACACAACAGGCUUGAGGCAGAAUUCAUAUGUUACAGCAUUCCUUCAAGUACAUCCCAGUUAUCCCAGUAUCCCAAUAUUGUGUGCCGUACUGACCAGGCUUCUCCUGCGUUAGAGGAAGAACUCUCACUGCCAGGCUGAUAGCUACACAAAAACCCCAGUACAGGACAAUGACGCUUCAAGAUAAUAUUAUGCAGCUGAUUAAAAUAGUGGCAGCAGAAGAGGAAUUACAGGUAGUGGUGAAGAAAACAACCACAGGGGCCAUCAUAGGGGUCGUCUCCAUCGCUGCUGGAAGCCUACUUGGCGGUAUUCCUGGACUCAUUAUAGGUGCUGCUGUGGGAGGUGUGCUGGGGUAUAACAUGUCUGAAGGUUAUAAAUCUCUGACUGACACCCUCAAUAAUCUUCACCCUGAAAUGAAAGUGAAACUUUGUAAUGCAGUCAUACAGCUGCUGAAAGAUCUGGUCUGUUUGGCACUGGAUAUCCUGGUUGAGAGGGUUUUAGGAGAUACAAUUCUGAAGAACACAAUUAUUAACUUAAUUAAAUCAUUUUUCAAUAACAAACUAAAUAUGAAAAUCAAGCAAAGGUUCUAAGCAGGAAGCCCUCCGGCCAAUGCAGGCAAUCAGGUUUCUGUUUCUGUUUCUUUUGGGUUCACAUAUAAGAUGUACAAGAACUACAAUCAGUUAUUUUAAGGGUAGAAAGUAGCAUAGUUCAAAUAAUCACCAUUACACUGUUUACUCUAUUUUUGAAUGUCUGCACUUGGGCUUUGGGGCUUUGGGCUAUGUUAGUCUAGGGUGAAAAAAAUCAUAUUUGUCUCAGUCAGCACUCUGUUUGGUGGUUCAGCACUCUGUUUGAUGAAUCAGCAUUCUAUGUACGAUGAUUCAGCACUCUAUGUUUGAUGACUAAGCAUUCUGUGUGAAGUGAAUGCACAUUUUAAUACUCUAGACCACCAAACUGUCAAAACAUUUAAAAUCAUAAAUCUAUGUCACACUAAUUAGGAAAAAAAAGGUGUUAACAGAAAAGAAUGUUGUUCUCUCCUUCAUAUUUCUCUAAGUUCUUUUUAAUCUCUACUUUCUUGUUUUCUCUUUCUCAGCACUUUCUCUCUGCCUGUUUUCUGUCUCCCUGUCAAAUACCUUCUAACCUAGACAAAUGCGAAACGUAGGUGGGUUUGGAUGUUGUCUAAAUGUCUCCAUUUAAUGGUUAAUAUAACAGCGCUCAGAGCCCUGGGUCAAGAGCGAUGUCUCCAGAAGCACCCUUGGCAUGAUAAUAAUGUGAUCUCUAACCGCAUUCUGUAAUCAGGAUACAAAGAAAUGUCUGUAUUCCGUUGUAGUUGCAGAAAAAAAUGUUUUUAAAAAAAACCGACGCACGUUUAACUUCAUUCCCGAGCAGCUUGUGACUGGAAGCAGCCGUGGAUUUGUGAGAUCUGUCUCUACUUUUCAUUAAUGCACGUUAUGCCAUUUGAUUGCUAAUAGCUUUGUUUAUUGUGAACACGAGACUUGUUUCCCGUGGAUGCGUUAUUGUGUCAUUUGUCUUUAUUUGAGUUAAAUAAAGGUUACCCUGAUGA